AGGUGGUUAAAAUCCAGAAUGUGAUAACAGACUUUCGGAAAUGAAGAACAUGUCAUCAGUAAAGAAACAGAAAAAUCACCUUCCAUGACGACAAGCCGUGUAGACUGUACCUUCCUCACUGCCAACCACGAAGUUAUUGACGUCUCCCGUUGGGAAAGCCAUUCCGGUAACAGCGACAGGCUUGGACUUAUUGUACACCAGCUCCAUGCUCUCCUACCAAAACACGCGUUACAAAAGACCCCGGCUGUGCCAGAAACCAUGCUUUACUGCCCCUGACAUUCAUGCUUCUGUGGAUCUCUGGUUUCAAGCCGGCUGGAUUUCAUCAGCAUGUGCUGCUGCUUCUUAAGUCAGGCAAAGAUGACAGAGCAAGCAUGUAAAAAAAGAGCCAGCUUCUUAAUCUGUGUUCCCUUCCUGGGCCAUAUAAAAGAAGCAAUAACGUUCAUCAGCUACAGAAUCCAAGAGAAGAAUUCAGUUAUCAGGAGUUGAAAAAAAGGAAGGUGUUCAAUGAUCCUGUGGAGCCAGGAAUAAUAUGAAACCAGAUAAUGAAGAGUUAAGGAAAGCUUCUAAGACUGCUAAUGAACUCCAUCCUGCCCUGCUUAUUGUCACUUUGAUCUCAGCUUUCAAGACACACAACUUCUUCUCUAACAGAAACAUAAAUGGCUGAUCAAAGUGUGCUUGCAGAGGCCAAGUUCAGAUGAGAAGACAGAAUAAUUUCCCCCGAAGGAACUGCAACCACAUCCCGCUUCAAGUUCUGUCUGGCUCUGCCUGUUUUGGGGUCUGUGAUCUUUAACCACUAUGCAAACUGCCUCCUGAACCACAGCAUGAUGUGAAAUAGAAAUGCCAUGGAGAAAGGACUGAAAUACAAGCAGCUGCAAUGUUCUAUUGCAAGGUAAGGAGGCUUUGCAGGGACUUUUUGAGGUGGACUUGCAUGGCCUCAACAUGGAUUGUUCUUCCACACUCAGGAGGUGAACAAAUACAAGUUGUAGCUGAGAAGGUAUGCUUCUCACCCUUGAGAGCUGUACAUAAUGGAUUAUUUUAUUUAUCAGGUAUUCUACAACCACAUUCUGUUCUAAUUUUCAUUCUGGAAUCCACUGCUUUGAGACCUGGCCGGCAAUGCUUAAUAUGAAGUGUUAAUUCCCCCAGCCAGAAAGAUUCACAGCUUAG
rnacentral:lncRNA from 1 species